GACGAACGCUGGCGGCGUGCCUAAUACAUGCAAGUCGAACGCAGUGGGGUCGGGUGCGUAACACGUGGGUAACCUCCCAUCAGAGGGGAUAACCCUUGGCAACAGGUGCUAAACCGCUACUGAUGUAUGAACCCGCGGUGCAUUAGCUAGUUGGUGAGGUAACGGCUCACCAAGGCCACGAUGCAUAGCCGUCCUGAGAGGAUGAUCAGCCACACUGGGACUGAGACAAGUACCAGACUCCUACGGGAGGCAGCAGUAGGGAAUAUUCGGCAAUGGACGAAAGUCUGACCGAGCAAUGCCGCGUGAGUGAAGAAGGUUUUCGGAUCGUAAAACUCUGUUGUUGGAGAAGCGGUAACUAACGAGAAAGCCACGGCUAACUACGUGCCAGCAGCCGCGGUAAUGC
rnacentral:rRNA from 1 species